rnacentral:rRNA from 1 species
UAAAUAGCCCAGCCCACUUUUGUGGACUGCCGGCUUCUUAGAGGGACUUUUGGCUCAAGCCAAUGGAAGUACGAGGCAAUAACAGGUCUGUGAUGCCCUUAGAUGUUCUGGGCCGCACG